AGUAGCUCAGUGGUAGAACAAUCGACUGUUAACUGACCGGUCGUAGGUUUGAAUCCUACUU
rnacentral:tRNA from 1 species